rnacentral:rRNA from 1 species
CCCUUAGAUGUUCUGGGCCGCACGCGCGCUACACUGACGCAUUCAACGAGUGUACCUUGGCCGAGAGGCCUGGGCAAUCUUUUGAACGUGCAUCGUGAUAGGGAUAGAUUAUUGCAAUUAUUAAUCUUGAACGAGGAAUUCCUAGUAAACGCAGAUCAUCAAUCUGCAUUGAUUACGUCCCUGCCCUUUGUACACACCGCCCGUCGCACCUACCGAUUGGAUGGUCCGGUGAAGCCUCGGGAUUGUGGCGGUUGCCUUUAUUGGUGGCCGCCGCGAGAACUUGUCUAAACCUUAUCAUCUAGAGGAAGGAGAAGUCGUAACA